rnacentral:rRNA from 1 species
CGAGCGCAACCCUUGUGAAUAGUUGCUACGAAAGAGCACUCUAUUCAGACCGCCGUUGACAAAACGGAGGAAGGUGGGGAUGACGUCAAAUCAUCAUGCCCCUUAUGACCUGGGCUACACACGUACUACAAUGGUCGUUAACAGAGGGAAGCAAGGCCGCGAGGUGGAGCGAACCCCUAAAAACGAUCUCAGUUCAGAUUGCAGGCUGAAACUCGCCUGCAUGAAGAUGGAAUUGCUAGUAAUCGCGGAUCAGCAUGCCGCGGUGAAUACGUUCCCGUGCCUUGUACACACCGCCCGUCACACCAUGAGAGCCGGGGACACCCGAAGUCGGUUGGGUAACCGUAAGGAGCCCGCCGCCGAAGGUGGAAUCGGUAAUUGGGGUGAAGUCGUAACAAGGUAACCAAGCC